rnacentral:snRNA from 1 species
GUGCUCACUUCAGCAACACAUAUACUAGAAUUGGAAUGAUACAAAGAAGGUUAGCGUGGUCCUGCACAGGAAUAACAAGAGACUCAUAAAGUAGUUUUUAUUUUCU